GAUGAACGCUGACAGAAUGCUUAACACAUGCAAGUCGAUGGGGAAGUGGUGCUUGCACCAUGGUAACCAUGGCGGACGGGUGAGUAACGCGUAAGGAACUUGCCUGCGGGACUGGGAUAACAGCAGGAAACUGCUGAUAAUACCGGAUAAGGUCAUUAAGCUGCAUAGCUUAGUGAUGAAAGGAGACGCCUGCGGAGAGCCUUGCGUCCUAUUAGCUAGUUGGAGGGGUAACGGCCCACCAAGGCGAAGAUAGGUAGCCGGCCUGAGAGGGUGGACGGCCACAAGGGGACUGAGAUACGGCCGUUACUCCUACGGGAGGCAGCAGUGGGGAAUAGUGGACAAUGGGGGCAACCCUGAUCCAGAAAUUCUGUGUGCACGAAGACGGUUUUCGGAUUGUAAAGUGCUUUCAGCAGGGAAGAAGGAAGUGACGGUACCUGCAGAAGAAGCGACGGCUAAAUACGUG
rnacentral:rRNA from 1 species